UACGUAGGGAGCAAGCGUUGUCCGGAAUCAUUGGGCGUAAAGCGCGCGUAGGCGGCCCGAUAAGUCCGUUGUGAAAGUCAAAGGCUCAACCUUUGAAUGCCGAUGGAUACUGUCGGGCUAGAGUCCGGAAGAGGCGAGUGGAAUUCCUGGUGUAGCGGUGGAAUGCGCAGAUAUCAGGAGGAACACCAAUAGCGAAGGCAGCUCGCUGGGACGGUACUGACGCUAAGGCGCGAAAGCGUGGGGAGCAAACAGG
rnacentral:rRNA from 1 species